UAAUCUAUUUGGGAUAGUUUCUCAUUUAGUUAUGAUAGACUUACAUCUAACUGCUUAAAAUCACUCACUAUUAUAUGACAUAAUAACAUAUUUGGAAGAAAAAAUUCAUAAAAUCGGUGUCUGAUUUUGAGUUUAUAA
rfam:Populus trichocarpa scaffold_16_contig_255, whole genome shotgun sequence.